CGCAACUGCCGCCGAGGGGCUCGGGCCAGCCGUUUUGAAGGCAGCGGGUUUUUUCCGGAUUUCACCCAUCAAACCAGUGUCUUAUCACAAGUUUCCCCGAGACAGUUUACUGCUGAAGCGGAUUUUUGCCAUAAGGAGAGACCUAGGCCCUAAUUGUGUAAAUGAGCAAUCAACUAAGGUAUGCUCAAAGCAUUUCAAGCCACAUGAUUUCAUCAGCAAUGUUGUAAGUGGACGACGUUUCCUGAAAAAAAAAAUGCAUUCUAUCCGAAUUUCCAUUUUCAAAACCAGCGACCAAACGGCGGCCCCCAAAGCAGCGGCUACUGCAGUGCAUCAGCAGUGCCUAAAAAAACACAAGCGCAGCAAGGUCCAAAGAAACAUGCGUCAAAGAAAGCAAUCUAGAUGACGAGGCUCUUGCAAACCAACCCUUUCGGCCCUGGUGUCCUAUAAAAAGGACACGAAGAAGAACGGCUAUAAGUCAUGAUUAAACUGCUCAAGAAUCUGAAACAAGAACUGAGCUGACUCCCAGGACAUCCCCAUAAGCAUGGACAUAAGCGCGGGAUGCGCUUGCGUGUAUCGGAAAUUUCUGCAAUGUUUUCGAUGCUUCUAUCCGUUGUCUGUUGUCGCCGAAUCUUGCAUAAUCUUAUUGCAUGUAUGCGCAACGCGAAUGGUGUAGAACUUUGUGGAAGGAACGCGGGUCCCAGCGAUUACUCUGGAACAUUCCACGAUUGAUGUAUAAAAGCCGACAGGCUUGAUCCGCUCAUCAGAUUAUCGCCGAUCGCCGACUGUGUUCACCGCUGUCGCAAUUAUUUGAGUGUAGCAUGUCUUUGAGGGCACAAGUUCGCCCAAUAAAACGCUAGUUUCGUCUUUCCCAGUUUGGAUGUUUUGGCGGAAGUUUGCAAAAUGGUGGAAGGCGGCAACGGCGGCUGCAGUGAGGCCAAAAUUCCGACCGGAUAGUUUUAUUCAACGGCAAAGCGACCUCGAUUAAGACAUCUACGUCUCGGGGAUCCAGAUGUCAUGUUUGCUGCACUAAAGGAUGGUGACGUGUCGGAGGUCGAAGAGGCUGAGGAUGACAUGGAUGACAUGGUUGAGGCUCUUGAACACGUUUGUGACAAUGAGCGUGAUGCACUAGAGGAGCUCUCGGCUGCCUCCAGCGAUGAAGAAGUUGACAAAGAAACACCGGAGGACAGGUCGUGGUCGAGUGCAGCUUUCAAUAAGCUAGCAGCCACGUAUCAACCUCAAUCAUCUGGUGAAGCGAAUGAGAAUGAUCCUGAUGGUCUACCGACCCCGUAUGAGUAUUUUUCUCGGUACGUGCCGAAGAGUGUGUUUGUUGAUCUUGCCGAGAAAACAAACAUGUAUUCUUUCUGCUUCUCAAGAGGGAAAAUCCGUUGAAACAAAAUAAAUCAGAAAGCUGGUUUCACUACAUCUAGCGAUGGGUGUCUUUCGUUACCCACGGCUGCGCAUGUACUGGAAGCCGUCGCUCAAAACUGAGCUUUUCUCAACUGCGAACAUGUCACGAAACGGGUUCGAGAAGCUCAGAAACUGCUUACACAUUGUUGAUGUGAACGGAGACCACAACAGCAAUGAUCGUCUCUGGAAGGUCAGGACACUUUUGGAGACAUUUCGUGAAAGAUGUCUAAACCUGACUUUAGAGGAGCAUAUUUGCAUCGACGAGGAAAUCAUCCCGUUCAAAGGACAGCUUGACAUAAAACAAUACAUCAAAGGGAAACCAAACCCGUGGGGAGUGAAAGUUUUCAUGUUGUGCGGUGCCUCGGGGAUUAUCUAUGACUUCCUCGUUUAUUAAGGUUCAACCAUUGAACUUGUUCCAGCACACGAAAAGGACUUCGGAGUCACCGGAGCAUUUGUCUUCCAUCUUGCGAGGCGAAUACCGGAUGGUAUUGCCACAAACUUUUUUUUUUUACAAUUAUUUUACGUCCUUGACAGUUUUGCGGGUGCUUCGUGACAAAACUACAUAUGCUGCUGGAACAAUCCGAUCAAACCGGACCGAGAAAUGUCCGUUGAAGCCAGAAGGCCAAAUGAAGAAGGAGAGAAGGGGGUCCUCUGACUGCCUGGUAAGCAGCGAUGAGAAAAUCAUCAUCACGAGAUGACUGGACAACAGCGGUGACCCUAGACUAGAGGUGUGCGCCGAGGCAUCGGCGCGCCGCCGCCGCCGACGUUUUCACUCGGCGUGAUCGGC